rnacentral:tRNA from 1 species
GGCCGGCUUGCCUAAUGGUUAAGGCGUCAGUUUCCGGUUAAGGAUUAGCUGAAGAUUCUGGGUUCGACUCCCAGGUUGGUCG